GACGAACGCUGGCGGCGUGCUUAACACAUGCAAGUCGAGCGAUGAAGUUCCUUCGGGAACGGAUUAGCGGCGGAAGGGUGAGUAACACGUGGGUAACCUGCCUCAUAGAGGGGAAUAGCCUUCCGAAAGGAAGAUUAAUACCGCAUAAGAUUGUAGUUUCGCAUGAAAUAGCAAUUAAAGGAGUAAUCCGCUAUGAGAUGGACCCGCGUCGCAUUAGCUAGUUGGUGAGGUAACGGCUCACCAAGGCGACGAUGCGUAGCCGACCUGAGAGGGUGAACGGCCACAUUGGGACUGAGACACGGCCCAGACUCAUACGGGAGGCAGCAGUGGGGAAUAUUGCACAAUGGGGGAAACCCUGAUGCAGCAACGCCGCGUGAGUGAUGACGGUUUUCGGAUUGUAAAGCUCUGUCUUUAGGGACGAUAAUUACGGUACCUAAAGAGGAAGCCACGGCUAACUACGUGCCAGCCGCCGCGGUAAAAC
rnacentral:rRNA from 1 species